UCCAAUCUUAAAUUAUUAUUUGGUCAUUUUAUAUUAAAAUUUAUUUAUAUAAUAAAUUGAAAUGUAGGGGGUUUUAUGAUAUUAAUUAAAUUUGAUGGUCGUUUGUGGUACAUCUAUUAAAAUAGAGGGAUAGUGAGUGAAAUUUAGCCAUAAUUUAAUCUAAAACCGGUAAUUGUAGGUCACGGGGGUUUUAAUCAUACUACUCAAAUUGAAGUUCAGGGAUUUUUAUAAUACAAAUUGAAGUUGAGGGACAUUGCUAAUAUAAUCACCAAAGUUGAGGGAUAACAGAUGAAAUUAACCCAUUUAUUUUCUGUUGAAUUUUGCGUCCAUAAUAUCUCAAUGGGUAAGCCUGCAUUGGAUAAAAUAGAGGGUCUGGGCAUGAUAUAGAAGGUAUUUGGGCCAUGAAACAACAUUUUUUUUUUAAUAUCAAUUUGGUAAUACCAGUAGAUUUGUGUACAAUGAACUCUAGUUUUUCAGGGUGGAUGCAUUCAAUAUGUGGUUCUUGCUCUACAAUACUAGUUGUCAUCCAGUAGGUUGUUCAAAGGAACAGGGACUGGUGUUCUGAUACUUCUCAUGUGCUUCUUUAUGAUAUCUUUCACUGUGUAACAUAUUAAUUACCUUUUUAAAAAAAUUGUAUUUGUUCUUUAGAGAAUCACAAUAUGUACUUUUUGGGCUGCAGGAAAGUCAUGCUUCGUGUAGAUGC
rnacentral:misc_RNA from 1 species